GGAUUCCCCUAGUAACGGCGAGUGAAGCGGGAAGAGCUCAAAUUUUAAAUCUGGCGUCCUUCGGGCGUCCGAGUUGUAAUCUAGAGAAGUGUUUUCCGCGUUGGACCCACCAUAAGUUACCUCGAACGGUACAUCAUAGAGGGUGAGAAUCCCGUGUGUUGGUGGGAAGCCCAGUGCUCUGCGAUCGCGCUC
rnacentral:rRNA from 1 species